GGUGCAGAUUCAAUCUUUAAACUACCAUUAAUUUAUGCAAUAACGGGAAGUUUGAGGGAUUUGGCAGCUGGAAUAGUGGUUGGGUCACUUUUGCUGAGAUUUAUGCUAUCCAGAUUGGUUAAUCCCAACAUUGACCCCAGAGAAUGUUUUGAAGGAGUGGACCAAGAGCCAAGUACGAAGAAGGCUAUCUCUAGCAAAAUAAUUCCUUGAGGAAACUUAGCAGAUCUCUGAGCAACAGGGGAGAGAUUAAUCUAGAUCAGAAAAGUAACAAACUUCUUCCCUAGAGCUUCAACUCAAUCAAGGAGCAUGUUGAUCAAAAGAAUCGUCAUUUUCAGCAUCUUAGAAGAUAUAAUUAUUUUCUAAAAGAUGGAAGAUUGAGUUAGUCCAUGGGUGGGGCUUUGAUUUUGCUCUUAGAAAAUGUGUUGAGGUAAGUCCAUUAUGAUAUUAGCUUGUUUAACAUCAUAUACUUGUUAGCUGCUAAAUUCUUAUUUUCUUGGGUGGCCUUAAUAGAGGCACAUACCGAAGAGAAAAGGAUAAAUUGCAAUUGUGAUGUGCAAUGGUACUCUAAACCGCUACACUCUCUGUUUGAUAUAGCCUGCUCUUGAGUUUCAGAUUGGAGUUGAAUUUGGGAAUUGAAUUUUUGGGCAGAUCAUAUCAAUAGUUUUUAAACAAGUAAGAAUAAUUAAUAAUGUUUUUUCCAAUGACUUCUCAUGUAUGUGGUUGAUUAAGGAUUUCUCUCUGAAGUUAGAUGAUGCUACUGGUGUUAAAUCUUAAACUGGCAAUGCUGUAGAAGCUAUGCACAUGCUGAGAAUGGAGCUUGGACUAGAGGGUUUGACAAAGAACUUGAAAAUCUUCUUAGUGCUCUUAAGAACAUGAUCAUGAAGUGUUGAAAAAUGAUCAUGUGAAGACCAAUUAUAAGGUUUUAUUACUUCAAACACCUUUUUUGGUGUCGAGGGAAGAAUUAAAAAGUUGUAUACCUGACUUUGGUGGUUGUACAUUUGUUUUUAAAAUAAUAAGUGUUGUAUUUUAUAUGGAAUUGAAGAGUACAUGUAUUUUAUGGAAUUGGAGAGUAAAUUUAAAUUAUAUAUUAGUGAUUGUAAUUUUUUUCA